AUUAACGAUAAAUGUGUAUGUUCCAGGCAAUAAUUUAAAAUAUUUGUGAAACUUAUCGUUUUGCGCUAAAAUACAUCAAUGUGUGUGAAAUUCUUUGUCAUUGUUUUUGUUUUGAACAUCAUAUUCGUGCCUGCCGGUGGAAAAAUUAGAGCGACAUACGGACAAGUAAGAUGAUCAUCGUUUAAACAAAUGGUUUAUUUUCUUGUACAAGCAGCCGUGGCCCGAGCAGCGCAAAUCGUGGCAGAGAAUUAUAAGUAAUAAGGGAAAUAAUAGUGCGAUAAGAAACUGGAGCUCGGGGAAAACUAUAAUUUACGUCUCUACGCAGCACGUACGCAUGUGUGGGUGCAUUUGCGAUUGUGGCCUAAGAAGCGGCCCGAAAAACCUUACCAAACCUUUUUUUAUUUUACGCUUACAUCAACGUUAUGCCACAAUCACGUGCCGCCGCAGCUGCAGCUACUGGCAGAGGCCCACAGGCAUUCAUAAAAAUUGGCCACUAUUUACUGGACGCAACACAAGGUAGCAGUAAAGAUAUUGGACCUCAUGCAUUAAAUGUGAGUUUAAGCUCCAACUCGAUUUUCAGUACAAAUUCUUGAGCUUAAGCUCACCCCUUUAGUGCAAAAAUUGAGUCUGACCUUAGACUCAUUUUUUAUGCAUGAGGCCCAUUAAAUCGCAUAAAUUGGUUGAAAUGGUUGGAAGUGGACCAACAACUUGCUGCCUUCUCGUCAAUUUGGUUACGUUGUGUUGACUAACUCCGGAGGCAUUAUGGAUCUUGAGGAGGCCAGACGGUAACAUUUGGGAGGCAAAAUGCUAGGAUUCUUGUUCUAAGCUGGGCACUGGGUAUUCACACUUUUGUUAGUGUAUUGAAGCUAUUGCAGCUGGCAAGAGCAACAUGUUUAUAUUA
rnacentral:lncRNA from 1 species